UUCCCUGAGGUGUUCGUCUAGGGGUUAAGUCCCUGAGCCGAUACUAAUACUUUAGGAUUAUGAUUUCUUAGCUAUUGAGCAGGCUCGGCAUGUACCGAGAAGCCUACGGUUGAGGAUUGUUUUCCGCCUUGAACUUUACGGUUCAAGGGCCAUUACCCACAGCGGCAUUUUGGGGAA
rnacentral:other from 1 species